rnacentral:pre_miRNA from 12 species
GUUGUCACCGAGAAGUUGAGCAGUGUUCUGGCAUCAAAUCUGGUUUGUCAUAGAUUGCUUGAGUCCACUAUCACAGCCAGCUUUGAUGAGCAGAAAGUUGUCUCUAUAAUCUGUUGGAUCA